AGCGCACCCUGGAAACACUCAGA
rnacentral:siRNA from 1 species